CAAAUACUCCCUCCGUCCAGAAAUACUUGUCAUCAAAAUGGAUAAAAGGAAAUGUAUCUAGACAUAUUUUAGUUUUAGAUACAUCUCUUUUUAUCCAUUUUGAUGACAAGUAUUUUCGGACGGAGGGAGUAGAAA
rnacentral:pre_miRNA from 1 species